rnacentral:lncRNA from 1 species
UAGGAAGAACAUCUGAUGGAGCCUUACAGCAUAUUGACAGAUGGUUCUUUAGUGGGAGUGGUGUAUGUGAUCUUUUAACCUGAGAUCAUCAUGGUACCUUGUGUACAUAGAUCCUUACUUUGAUUUAUUUUCUAGCACACCACUCUAAGAUGUGUGUGGGAUAUUCUAGGUAUGGUAAAGUAUGUAUGGGAUUGUGAGUGG